UACGAAGGGUGCAAGCGUUAAUCGGAAUUACUGGGCGUAAAGCGUGCGUAGGCGGUUUGUUAAGUCUGUUGUGAAAGCCCUGGGCUCAACCUGGGAACUGCAUUGGAAACUGGCUGACUAGAGUGCGGUAGAGGGGUGUGGAAUUCCCGGUGUAGCAGUGAAAUGCGUAGAUAUCGGGAGGAACAUCUGUGGCGAAGGCGACACCCUGGACCAGCACUGACACUGAGGCACGAAAGCGUGGGGAGCAAACAGG
rnacentral:rRNA from 1 species